UUAAUUUUUUUUUUUUUUUCAAAGUGAUUACGGCGGUAGCAACACUGUGCUUAUGUUCUACACCGCACCCUUUCCCUACAUUUGCUUCUAGGAGCCUCUAUUUUUGUUUCAACACACAGAAGUACGUAGGCAUGCGUGGCCCAAGUCGACACUGUUUUGGCCUGCGUUGAACAAAAAUAGUUUCAAUAAAAGUUUCCCCUUUUUUCUUUUUGUCAAUUGUUUUUUUUUUGUGGUAUGGUCCAUGUAUUUAGUUAGGUUCUUGUCAAUUUGUCAGUUAUUCGAAGUAGAUCUCCAAUAUGUAGUCAAUAAGUCAAUUAAGUCAUUCUGAUCUGUUCUAUCAUAGCAGCUUUAGUCUUUGUUUUAUUGAAGUGUAGUUUUAUUGGAAAUAUGCUGAAUAUCGUUAUUAAGAAGAGACGUCUGGAACUGUGUCCUGCUAGUUGUUCCGUCAUGCACUAAUAAUGCCUAGGAGAUUAACGAAAACACGAACACACGUGUCAGAUGUCCAUUGCGUAGAAAGUCAAGGAAAAUAGGUUUCUUUAUUGUCAGUUGUUAUGUAAGCCUCGCUUGAAGCACUUCCCGUGAGAACCCUGUCAUCUGUACACCAACUAAUCCGUAUCUUCGUACACAGCUAAAUACUAUACUGCCAACCGGCGCAAAGCCUAUGGAUACCCCACGGAAUUGAUGAGUAGUGAGUUCAAUGCAGAGAUCCCCCCCCUCACUCUCCCAAAUUGUGGUAGGCCCCCGCUAAACCUGCAAACCAGAGCCACUCCCAGCCAAAAGCUCUAGCAAAUGUGGACAAACCGGUGCUCAACGUGCUCUCCCAUAGUGGCAACAUCAAAUAUGUGGACUGUACAACAAUAGUAGUUUUAAUGAAAUGAAUACUAAGAAUUUAGGCCGACACUCGAAGUGACGAACUUUACAGUGCUAGUUGAGUAAAUACACGAAAGAUGGGUAACAACAAAUGUGCACAAACAGAUGCAUAACAAUAUGCAUGCAAAAAAGGCCGCAACUAUCCAUGGUGAAUUUAAAAUAAUGACAGCGUAAAUAUAAUGGAACAGACUCACCGAAUUUAGCUCCAAAAUGCCCCCUAGACGAUGGUAUUGUUCAUACUCUUUGUAGCCACGCGUUGUAGAAAAUGAACCUGAAAUGACAAGAAGACAGUGGGCCGCCAAACUCCACAAAAUGGCGGCCCGGAAAUUUUAGUAUUCUGUUUAUAGCAUUGUUGAGCAUCAUAGAGAGCAUAAUUUAUAUUCAGUUUUAAAUAUAGUUUCUUGUUACUAUGCUAAGAAAUAGAGAGAUUCAAAAGUUUUUUUUUCUACCUGCACCAGUGAACUUCUUGAGUGAACAGCAUUCAACAUCUAAAAUUUAGAUUCUAAAUUGUUCAUUCACUAAUGCGAUUUUCUUAUCACCCUGCCCUGUCUUAAUUAGAAGAUAUAAGUAAUGCAGAGACAUCCCAUAUGCACUCUUGCAUUACAUAAUAAGGUUGGACCCUGCUGCAAUCAAUGUCGUUAUGCUAUCCACUCCUGAGUUUAUAGUUGCUAUAAAAAUAAUUUCGAAGAAGUGAAAAAGAAUAGUACGAAUCAACUUGUUAAUAAAAUGCUGCUACUAUUACUAU